GACGCACGCUGGCGGCGUGCUUAACACAUGCAAGUCGAACGAAGUGGCGAACGGGUGAGUAACGCGUAAUCAACCUGCCCUUCAGAGGGGGACAACAGUUGGAAACGACUGCUAAUACCGCAUACUGAAGGAGGGGCUUGUGUCUGAUUAGCUAGUUGGAGGGGUAACGGCCCACCAAGGCGAUGAUCGGUAGCCGGGCUGAGGGGGUGAACGGCCACAUUGGGACUGAGACACAGCCCAGACUCCUAAGGGGGGCAGCAGGGGGGAAUCUGCCGCAAUGGAAGAAAGUCUGACGGAGGAAGGGCGGGUGAGUGAUGACAGCCUUCGGGUUGUAAAGAUCUGUUAAUCGGGACGCGGUACCGGAAUAGAAAGCCACGGCUAACUACGUGCCAGCAGCCGCGGUAAUUC
rnacentral:rRNA from 1 species